AUGACGACAGGCCCACGCGUCAGCGACGGCGCUCGUCCUUUUUUAAGCCGACCGUGCGGCGGGUCCGUCCUCAUCCAAACUCGCCGUCCACAUCUGCCAUCCUUUGCUCCCUCCUCGCCGGCAAACCCUAGCCACCACAACCACAGCGAGAUGGUCCUCUUCUCCGGCGCCAGCGGCAGCAAGGCCAAGGGCAAGUCCCCCGCCACCCAUUUCCCCUCAGAGUUCCUCCCACCUCUGCCGGCGCCGGCGCCUCGCCGGCAGAGGCAGCGCGUGAACGUGCCAGUGCACCAGGCGGAGUGGCACUGGCAGCACCGCCAGCCUCUGCCGUAUCCGGACGUGACGCUCCCGCACGACUGGCAUCUGGAUCCAGAUAGGAUCCCAGUGCCGGCGGCGCCGCGGACGGCUCGUGCUCACGCGGAGGAGGUGUGGCGCCGGCGGUCGCUGCUGACGCCCGAGCAGCGCCGCGACCCCACGAAAUGGUUCAGAGCUCACCACAAGUUGGCAUUUCGGUAUUAUGGUCCAUAUCGCAUUACUAACAAGAUUGGAACAGUGGCUUAUCAUUUGGCCUUACCUGCCUCAAGUCAAAUUCAUUCGAUGUUUCACGUUUCACAAGUCAAGCAGUAUGUUGCUCUGCAGCAUAAGAGAGAGAGAGAGCCUGCGAUGCCCGACCGUUGCAAAGGUGGAACGACGCCGGGUGUGAGUGUGGACCCUCUCGCGGGCGUAAUGAAGGGCUUGGCCGCGGCGAACUCUGUCUACAACGUCCUUGUCCUCCUCCAGUAUUUUCUUCUCAGCCUUCUCGUUGGCCAUCGUCUCCGCCAUGUUCGCAAUGGGUACCCCGCCGUACUUCGCGGACCCAUCCUUCAAGGCAUGGGCGGAUGCUGGAGUGUACAUUGGUGGCUACGACAGAGGUGGACGUCGGCGGGGCGAACGCGGAGCAAGUUCGGAGGAGGCCGACGAUGCGGGCUGGGGAAAGGAAUGACGAGCGCGGAAGAGAGUGCGGUCGAUUCGACCAUGUUUGCCCAAUCGGCGGCGGACCAUAGAAUGUUAUUCCUUGGGCAAUGCCUCCUCCCACAACAUUCGCCUCGCACCGCGGCGGUGAAUUAUGUGCAUGCGAAAAAUCGCAGCCCACCAACCAAGUGGAAAAUUCCCAUGCGAACAAUGCCAUUUCUCUUUCUCCCCCCGCAGUUCAAAGCCCCUUAUCCCCUGACCAAGAUAACGCCAUGCCCCGUUGAAAUCCCCCGCCGCGAAGGGGGCCGAAGUGGAAAAAGCCAAACGAACGGAGGGCGAGCGCGCCGCGCUAGCCAGCCGUGGUGCUACCGGCCUCACGUGACCCGGCGGAUCGCGAGUGAACCGCAUACAAAGCCGGGCACAGGUCCGAUCUGGGGCGCCCCCGGCUGUCGGAUCCCCCGACGGACGGCGCAAAACGAGGAGGGAUCAAAGAACGUGAGGGGGGGUCGAGCGAGGAAGCAUUCAACCACCCCCACCACUCGUAGGUCAGGUCAAGCCGGCGGGUGGAUCCAAGCGCAUGGGUCGCAAUUAACGGGCCCUGUCCACGACCCAACCACCGCUACUCUAGUCCCCUCCCAGCGCCGUCAGGAGAGAGGGAGGAUGGAUGACCGGGGGAGGCUCUCCCAGCCCGGAUGGGAUGGGCCCCACGAGCCGCGCGGGCCUCCUAUAAAGCCGGCGCCACGCACAGCCGCAAACCCAUCCACCGCCAGCAACGCUCGCUCGCUCGUUCAUCUGCGCAUCAAUCUCCACCUCGCCACCAAUCGAUCCAUCCCCCUCCUCCUAGCGAGCGAGCGAUCAAGAGCAAACCCUAGCGCGGCCGCCGUCCCAGAAGGUUUUCCCCGCCCCGACUGA
rnacentral:rRNA from 1 species